UACGGGGGGGGCAAGCGUUGUUCGGAAUUACUGGGCGUAAAGGGCUCGUAGGUGGCCAACUAAGUCAGACGUGAAAUCCCUCGGCUCAACCUGGGAACGGCAUUGGAAACUGGCUUACUAGAGUGCGGUAGAGGGGUGUGGAAUUCCCGGUGUAGCGGUGAAAUGCGUAGAUAUCCGAAGGAACAUCAGUGGCGAAAGCGGCUUCCUGGACCAGAACUGACGAUCAGGCACGAAAGCGUGGGGAGCAAACAGG
rnacentral:rRNA from 1 species